AAGUAUAGCUAAACAAGUUUAGUAUUUCAUUUACGUUGAA
rnacentral:tRNA from 1 species